rnacentral:rRNA from 1 species
UACGUAGGGGGCAAGCGUUGUCCGGAAUUAUUGGGCGUAAAGAGCUCGUAGGCGGCUCAGUAAGUCGGGUGUGAAACCCCCAGGCUCAACCUGGGGACGCCACCCGAUACUGCUGUGGCUAGAGUCCAGUAGGGGAGUGUGGAAUUCCCGGUGUAGCGGUGAAAUGCGCAGAUAUCGGGAGGAACACCAGCGGCGAAGGCGGCACUCUGGGCUGGUACUGACGCUGAGGAGCGAAAGCGUGGGUAGCAAACAGG